CCUGCAGCGGCUCGGUUUAGUGGGACUGACUGCAGUUACAGCCAGGCCCCUCUAUGAGCAGGAAGCGCUCCAAUUAAAAAGCAUCUCAUUUGGACUAUACCUAGCCUUGAUUUAUGGGAUGAGAAUGUUAUCCCCCAGGAGCAGUUUCAGUCAUCACAUAUGAUGAGCAGAACGACUCUGUAUACCGUUAGUGGCCAUACCAUGAUUGCUAUCAGUUUAUACAAAGUCCAGUUCACUGUUUAAUGAACAAGACUGUGUGCACAGCUUGGCCGAGGAGAUAGAAUCCAGUUCAAGUUGUG